UGAGGGGAUUCAUGAUGGAGAAAAACAGAUUACUGGCCCCAAGACAAUUAAUAUCAAAGGAAUGAUGUCAAAAGCCCAGACUCUUCUUGCAUCUUCCCAUACACAGAAAAGUGCUAAAUUCAUUAACUUGAGAUGUCCAUUUCUUUAAUUAGCAGUAAUCUGUUGUGUUCACUACCUGUUUUUUUGUUUGUUUGUUUGUUUUUUUGUUUUUUGUUUGCUUGUAAAAGCUCAUUUAUAUCCUGGUUCCCCCUUACCUCCUAGAACAAUUCCUCAGAGCUGCCAUCCCAAGCUAUGGAACUCAGUAAGGGCUCUGAAUAAAAUAUAAUCCUCAACUUCUAGGUUGUGCAAUGCUUUUUCAGUUGAUAGUUUUGGCAACCAAUGAAGGGACCCAGAAUAGGCUGUUUUCCUUCACCUAAACUCUACAAGGAACUGGAAAUUUGAUACCUCAUGUGCCUAUCCAGCUCCUGGACAGCCCAGAUGAAUUUAGGUGAGUCUCUUCUGGUUCUUGAAUCUCCCAAUUAUUUGUUGACCCUGAAUUGUAUUUUGGUCAUGUCUAACAGGUACCUGACCCCCCAGUUAAAAGAUACUGGGGUGUGUCCCCAAGUUGAAAAGUAUUGAGGGAGCCCAGUUGAAAGUCAUUGAUUGUUGCUCAGUUGAGAGACGCUGAGUGGUCUGGACUGGCUAUUUAAAUGAGAGGUUGGUGUUGAUAAAAAUUCAAUUAACUAUCAGGUUAAGAAAAGAAAGGGAAUUUUAUUUCAGCUAAACUGAGAAUUGUAACCCUGGAAGCAGAUUCUCAGAAAUCUCUGACUACUGUUUCACCUAUUAGAAGUUGAAGACAUAGUCAUAUACAUUUUUUAGACAAGAGAUCAUAUAUCAAAAUGAUAUAUUUUACAUACAGGUCACCAAGGAUACAUAGUCCAGGUCAGCACAUACAAAGCAAGCAACAAAUAACCAUGACCCACUACAGAGCUGGGAAAGAACACUAUUCUUUAAAAAGUUACAGUACUAGCAUCAGAAAAAAGAAAAAAAAACUGAUCUUUAUGGUUGAGCAGGCAUUCCCAUCUUUGAGAAGCUCUGGUUAAUAUGUGAUGCCGAUGCACACACCACAUGGUGGGGGGGGAGGGAGAAGGCCAAAACAAACACAGAGAAAUUUUUUUCUCAUUUGCCUUAAAAUAUAAAUUUUAUUCAUCACUGGCCUAACAUCUUUCCUGAAUCAAAGCCAUUCUCCAAUUAACACCAUAGCUAGGUUUAUAUAAAUACAACACUUAUAUUUAAAAAAAAUUUCUUGGAGUUCCCGUUGUGGCUCAGCAGGUUAAGAACCUGAUAUAAUGUCUAUGAGGAUGCAUGUUUGAUCCCUGGACUAGCUCAUGUUGCCAAAAUUUGGCCUCUGUCCACCGGUGUUGAACAGAAACACAGAGACAGAGUUUUAGGGUGAGGAGAAAAAAAAAUAGCUUUAGUGCUUUGCCAGGUGAAGGAGGCCACAGCAGGCUAAUGCUCUGAAGACUGUGCCCUACCUUGGGAGAAAUUAAGCAGUGUUUUUAUAGUUUAGGAGUGAAAAAUAGGGCCACAGAUAAUGAUCAGGGUAGAUGUAAGCUUUCAUUAUUCUUCAAAGUUGGUGUUUAGUGGCCCCAGGACUGGCUCUAGUGGUUCUCCUCUCUAGUUUUCACUUGUUGGGGGUUUUAGUUCUUCAGAACUAAAAAAUAUUGUUAUG